AAAAUUUCUUUUCUGACUCUAUGUACCCUCACCUCACUGUAUCUCUCUUUUCUCUCUGUCAUCCUUUUUUUUUCUCUUUCUCUCUCGACUUCUUCCUAUUCUCCUUCCUCAACCAUCUUCCUCUUCUUCUUCUUCCACUAUCAUCGAUAUUCUGUAUUCGGUAACAUCGUCACCAUCCUCUUCUCCAUCGUAUGAUAUUAUCGGCGGCGAAAUUGAUUCCGACGAGAUUCUAGGUUGUUCAGUCUAUCGCUGGUGAUGCACCACCAUUUUAAAGUUUAAUUUUAUUGAGCACUGUAUCCAAUUUUUACCAUUUAACUCUCUAUGCAGGUCUGCAAAAUAGAGUUCUUUUUGUUAAUUUUUAGUUAGGGUUUCAUCGAAACUGUAUGUUUUUAUGUCUCAGAUGUUUCCAAUCAUUGAACUGGAGGAAUUAAUUAAAGCUUUUAGAAGCCUCGUCCUAUUUUUUUGAGAUCAAACAGUUUAAAGGUUUCUUUUCUAUUUAUAUCAACCUGAGUUUAUUUGUUAAUAUGACUUAUCCAUGUUGAACUUUAAAGGUUUCUUUUUUAUGUUCUUGGUUGAAAUUGAACAUGUAGACGAGAUUUUGCAGGUUAUGAGAUGUAUAUUUGGUGAUCCUUGGAAAGCAAUGCUUCCUAUUAAGAAACUCGGUCCUGAAGCAUAUUUGUGUCUCUCUAGAAAAGAGUGGGCUUAUUUGUUGAGGAGCUUCUUCAGUGCAUAGCCGCCCAUGUGAAAAAAGAUAAUUUGUAUGAUUGAAAAUCUUUUAUAUUAUUAAAUGAAACUACGUGAGUGCUUUAAUUUGUUUGAAUCUUUGAAGGAUAGCUCAAUAUGUAGAUACACACUUUGUUUUAACUCAGACUUUUGAACUUUCUAAUGCUUUAGAAUUUGUUAAUUUUAACGCCAUCAUAUGUCUGAUUUUUCAUCUUUUUGUUCAUGUUGUAUUAACAUGUGCAGUAUCAAAGAUUUUCUUCCAAACUUACACGGGGAACAUAUUGAUUGUUUUGAACCCUUUCACAAAGCUUCCUCAUUAAAUGAUAGCCAUAUGAUGGCAUAAUACAUUGGAGCAACAUUUGGACAUCUGAGUUCUGAUAUUGACAGCAAUGGAUACUAAACCAGAAAAUUUGUUAUUGCCAUCCUCGCCUAACCAACGACACUUUCAUUUGAUGAGGAGCUUUGGAGAAUGAUUGUGUUUUUAUAAUGCCUCAGCAGGGGGUUCUGUUGUUGGUGUUAUGAUAAACCAACAUGACACUAAGUGAAGAAGGCACUCAAGAGAACCUUGACUGACAUGGCUUCGGUUAUUCCAAAUGGAUUUCUAAUGCUUCUUUCGGUGAGUCCUGGGGUUCAACGAGGGGACUAAAUGACGCUCUGAGAUGCAUUGAUUUGACAAUAAAGCAUUCAGAUUGAGCCUAGGUUCAACAUGGCUCAGCAGUAUGUGCAAGUGAAUGUGAUGCAGUUUUGAAUUGGCAAUAAAAUCAUCAACCUGGCACUUAAUCUGAAUGUGGGAAUGAAAUAAUUAGUUUAUGAUGUUGAAUGUUAUUGUUAUGUGUUACUUUAUCUUUUCUUCAAGAUGAUUACAGAUAAAUAAACACAUGAUUGCCUAUAUGGAAAGAGGGAUUUUGAUCAAUACAUGGAGAUUGUUGGAAGUAUAAAACAUGAUAAUGUGGUUGAUUUAAAAUCUUACUACUGUUCAAAAGACGAGAAACUGAUGGUAUAUGAUUACUAAAGUCGGGGGAGUGUCUCUUCUUUGUUGCAUGUUAUACUAUAACUAUAUGUGAAGAAUCAAGUGGGGCUUCACGAGCCUGAAUUUUGUAACUGAUGAAAUCCCAUAGGUUUGAGGAACAGGGAGACACUAUCAUACUCCAACGUCAUAUCUAGAGCAGAAUCUAAUCGAAGUUCGAAUGCACCUUUUCUUCUUCUGUAGGGACGAGAGGUUCUGAUUGUUCAUCGUGUAAAUAAGGUAAGCUCAAUAUUUUGGUUGACUUUAGUAUGUUCCUUCCAACAAUUGUGUCAUUACUGAAUCUGAUUCUGAGGCAAAGUGCUAUGUAUCUUCUCACGUUAUGUCGAUGGCUUCAAGUACCACAAUAGAAACAGCCACAACACCCGUUGAGCCAGUUGCAGCCUCUGCUGAGCAGAUAUGGAUGGGUUUCCAUAGACCAUAAUUUUUUCUUAGUUGAGGCUUUCUUUGUUGAUCAGUUUUGAUGAUAUUCUUGGAAAAUUUAUUUGUUGAGGCUUUCUUUUUGUUUUGUUUUACUGUCAGUCACCAUAUGUUUGAUGAUGGGUCUAUGAGAAAAUCCUUUUUAGAAUUAACAUUUAAGCUAAUACUUUUCAUGUUUAAUUUGUGUGUAGUUUAGAUAUGUUCAGUUAUUUAUAUCCUACCCAUGCUUCUGAUCUAUUUAGUAUAUUCAUCAUGGAAGUGACAAUUUUGUGAUUUCAUUUACUGGUUUGUUUUGUUUUAGUUUUCUAUCAGUUACCACCAUGUGUUUGAUGAUGUUUAAUGGCACGAGGUUCUUUGGUUCCCAUGGAGGAGAUAUUUCUAUCAGGAAAAUCGAACCAAACAUGGUGAUUGAGGAUGAUUUGAAAGCUAAAGAAAUAACUUAAUGCAUGAUUGGUGGAUGCUUUGUAUGCAUGCAUUCUGUUAAUUUAGGCAUGUGGUACAAUAUUCAGUGAUUGGAGUACAUGAAAUUUUGUAAUACAGACUAAACUGAUUUUCAUAUAUCAGGUAUAAAUUAUAUUAUUUUGUUCCUACUAUAGUAACAACACACACUUUCCAGUUUUCACAGACCUGUGUAAAGAGGGAAAAUGUCAUCACCCACUAUAAAAUUUCAAAACACUCUUCAAUAGUUACACUUAUACAUAUGUAUUCUUGCCUAACAAUUAGCAUCAUUUCAAAUCCAAAUAUACAAUUAUGUUGUAAAUGUUUUCAUUAGUCUUGGACUACUAUGAAAUAGAUAGACACAAAUUGCAGGCGAUAUAUUGUCAAAGUUGAUAACAAAUUAAAAAUGCAAGUGUAUUCAAUAUGGACAAUAUAAAGAAAUCACCUUCAGAAAUAACCAAUUUUAUCAACUUUUCCUUGGGAUCUAUUUAACACCAUCACCUUCACUAACUUCACCAAGAGGUGGUUGUGCUUAUUGAUAUGUAACAGUUGUAAUAAGUUAAUUAAUAUGUAUGAAUGAUGAUUUAGGAAGAAGAUCCAAGAAUAAACUUACUGAUUGAUGAUGGUUUUGAGUUGUGAUAUUAACUUAGCGUGAGAAGAAGCUUGAUGGCUUCUGUUCUAAAACAAUUUGAGUGAAAGAAUGCAAUGGUUGCAAAGAGAAAAAAAAUCCAAAAUGAGUGUUCCACUAACAUGCUCAUAUUCUCUACAAGAAAACACAUAAUUAGCAUUAAGGAUGCCCCUAUCAACUACAUCCUCGGAAAAAAUCUAUUAUUAAUUUGAAUAUUUUUAUAUACGAAAAAUAGUAUUUAUGAUAAAAAAAUUGAUUCAAAAAUGGUAUACAGAAAAAAAAAAAACUAUUA